rnacentral:rRNA from 1 species
GAUGAACGCUAGCGGCAGGCCUAACACAUGCAAGUCGAGGGAGAAGCCCUUUCGGGGGCAGAAACCGGCGCACGGGUGCGUAACGCGUAUGCAACCUACCUUUCACAGGAGGAUAGCCCGAAGAAAUUUGGAUUAAUACCCCAUAAUAUUAUUGGAUGGCAUCAUUUGAUAAUUAAAACUGCGGUGGUGAAAGAUGGGCAUGCGUCCUAUUAGCUAGUUGGAGUGGUAACGGCACCCCAAGGCUACGAUAGGUAGGGGUCCUGAGAGGGAGAUCCCCCACACUGGUACUGAGACAGGGACCAGACUCCUACGGGAGGCAGCAGUGAGGAAUAUUGGUCAAUGGUCGGAAGACUGAACCAGCCAUGCCGCGUGCAGGAAGAAUGCCUUAUGGGUUGUAAACUGCUUUUAUAUGGGAAGAAUAAGGUGUACGUGUACAUNGANGACGNU